AUGGCAUCUUCGAAGAUCCCUAUGCUUUCUCUUCCGUAGUAUGUGGAUUCAAAGCGAUGCCUAAAUAAAG